rnacentral:lncRNA from 1 species
AUGAAGGCUGCUGCUCUGCUGGUGGUACUGCUGUGCUCAGGUGGAGCCUGGGCCAUAAGAUGCCACAACUGCACGAACGAUAAAGGGAACACCUGCUCAGGACCUGUAGACUGCCCCAGCUACGCGAACGCCUGCGCUUCACAAGUGCUGAAUAUCAAACUGCCAGACCAGACGGUGGCCCUGGCAGCCAAGACCUGUGUGCAAUCGUGCGAGACCCUCAAUCCCAUGCCAUCCCGUGCUUCAUCCAGAGCUUCAGUCAGCGAUCUACAUGCCUCCAUCUACUGUUGCAGCACCAACCUGUGUAACCGAGCUGGGGGCCAAGGGCCAGGGGCCACCACCGUGGGCCUGAUGCUUGUGGCCAGUGUCCUUGUCACCCUCUUAGGGGCCUCCCUGUGACCCAGAGGUGUGGGACAUGAGUGAGGCAGCACAACCCAGGACACCCAGACCCCUAAGCCCCUGUCCCCAUCAGGCCGUCUGUGAGCUCGUAAAUUGAGGACAGAGUACAGAGGAGGUGGAGGGCCUGGUGGGGUGGUCACAGAGGACCACGCCCAUUUGCCCCAGAUCUUCAAGGCCAACAGAGGCACCCCACCCCAGCACACCGACGCAGAGAACCUCCUGGAGUCUUUGGCUUUUUCUGGGUAUCCUGCCCGGGGCCUUCAGCCAUCGGUGCCAGACCUACCACGGUCCUCGGGGAGCUGCUCCCCCAGCUGUGCAGAGACUUUCCGUCACCCUGGGUGGAGUGUGAACCCAAGGCCUGUCUUCCAGCCCAGAGCCACUGGCCAGGCUGGGGCUCCACCCGCAGCGUCCCCUUCCUGCGGCACUGCUUAUCCCUGUCCGACCCCCUGCCCACGCCCCCCGCUUCCCCAGGAGUAGCUCUGGAAUAAAGUUCAUGCAUGUCAGUCCUGCCUCAGCGUCUGCUUCAAGGGAACCAAACCUGAAACCCAGCUGCGGGCCCCACCACGACCUCGGAGCACAGGAGGAGAAGUGUCUUCUGUGCUGGGGUUCCAAGGUCUCUGGGCGGGUAACUCCUUCCGCCUUAUGAAACCAUUAAACAAAACCAAAAAGUGUGCAAUUUGUGUGGUACCAAGGCAGGCAGACAGGAAG